rnacentral:rRNA from 1 species
AUUGAACGCUGGCGGCAUGCCUUACACAUGCAAGUCGAACGGCAGCGGGGGAGAAGCUUGCUUUUCCUGCCGGCGAGUGGCGAACGGGUGAGUAAUACAUCGGAACGUGCCCUGUAGUGGGGGAUAACUAGUCGAAAGAUUAGCUAAUACCGCAUACGACCUGAGGGUGAAAGUGGGGGACCGCAAGGCCUCAUGCUAUAGGAGCGGCCGAUGUCUGAUUAGCUAGUUGGUGGGGUAAAGGCCUUCCAAGGCGACGAUCAGUAGCUGGUCUGAGAGGACGAGCAGCCACACUGGGACUGAGACACGGCCCAGACUCCUACGGGAGGCAGCAGUGGGGAAUUUUGGACAAUGGGCGAAAGCCUGAUCCAGCAAUGCCGCGUGUGUGAAGAAGGCCUUCGGGUUGUAAAGCACUUUUGUCCGGAAAGAAAUGGCUCUGGUUAAUACCUGGGGUCGAUGACGGUACCGGAAGAAUAAGGACCGGCUAACUACGUGCCAGCCGCCGCUGUAA